UACAGAGACUGCAAGCGUUAUUCGGAUUCACUGGGCGUAAAGGGUGCGCAGGCGGCCAAGUGUGUGAGGCGUGAAAGCCCGGGGCUUAACCCCGGAAUUGCGCCUCAAACUACAUGGCUAGAGCAUUGGAGAGGGUAGCAGAAUUCAUGGUGUAGCAGUGAAAUGCGUAGAUAUCAUGAGGAAUACCAGAGGCGAAGGCGGCUACCUGGACCAGCACUGACACUGAGGCACGAAAGCGUGGGGAGCAAACAGG
rnacentral:rRNA from 1 species